GAUCCUGGCUCAGGAUGAACGCUGGCGGCGUGCUUAACACAUGCAAGUCGAACGGGAAACCUUUUAAUGAAGCUUCGGCAGAUUUAGCUGGUUUCUAGUGGCGGACGGGUGAGUAACGCGUGGGUAACCUGCCUUAUACAGGGGGAUAACAGUCAGAAAUGACUGCUAAUACCGCAUAAGCGCACAGGGCCGCAUGGUCCGGUGUGAAAAACUCCGGUGGUAUAAGAUGGACCCGCGUUGGAUUAGCUUGUUGGG
rnacentral:rRNA from 1 species